CAGAAUUUGGACUCAUGUAUACCCACAAGAUUCUGAAGCUGCUGUUGACAAUCAGAGAAGAACUGCAAAGGAGAGAUGAAGUCAAGCUCCAAACCCUUUUCCCACUAUAGUUUUCUGGUCUGCAGAAGAGUGAAGUUGAGCAAUUUGGGAAGUGAAACAGAGAAGCAUGAUGUUUCCUACAAAAUCUAGUCUACCUCUAGAAUCUAGU